CGCCCACACAAAAGUUGGUUUGUCACUUACAACAGAUGAGUGGUAAGGUAUUUCUGGAGAAUGAUCAUGCAUUACCUGUGGAGGAUGUAGGUAACAUCAGAUUGAGGAUGUUUGAUGGGAUUGUUAGAACUAUGGAGUGUCGGCAUGUUCCAAGACUGAAGAGGAAUCUGAUUUCUCUUGAGACACUAGACUCUCAUGGAUACAAAUACCAUGCAGAGAAUG
rnacentral:lncRNA from 1 species